UACGUAGGGAGCAAGCGUUGUUCGGAUUUACUGGGCGUAAAGGGCGCGUAGGCGGCGCGGUAAGUCACUUGUGAAAUCUCUGAGCUUAACUCAGAACGGCCAAGUGAUACUGCAGUGCUAGAGUGCAGAAAGGGCAAUCGGAAUUCUUGGUGUAGCGGUGAAAUGCGUAGAUAUCAAGAGGAACACCUGAGGCGAAGGCGGGUUGCUAGGCUGACACUGACGCUGAGGCGACGAAAGCCAGGGAGGCAAACGGG
rnacentral:rRNA from 1 species